rnacentral:lncRNA from 1 species
AUUUAUCUUUUCUAUUAAAGAUUAAUACCUUGAAAUGUCAAAAUAGCAUAGACUUGAGAAAAAUUUAAGCCUUGUAGAGUUACUCUGUAUACUUACCUAUAACAAGCCUCUAGUGUGCUGGCAGAAUGCAGUGUGCAGAUGAAGGCUGAGAGAUAAUAUCCCACCUCUUCUGCUUCAGCUUCCCAGAGUGGGUGUGGCUAGUGGAGGGGAGUUCAUACAACUGACAAUAUGCUUGCCCAAUAUUUUCUGGCUAACCCUCAUUUCUCACAAUGACUCUUUGUAGGCUUUUUUGUUGUUGUUGUUUUUCAUUUCACCUCCAGGUAUGAUUUUUAUUUUUGCAAAGAACUGAGGGAUGAAAAGUUUUGCCAGCAGAUAUUUGGUGUUGUGAACACGUAGAAGUGGUCUAAGGAAGUUACUGGCCUAGUCUCUGCUCUAGUGGAGAAACAGACUGCAGAUUGAAUUCCUACAUAGGCUAUUCCAGAAUUCUUACGAGACUUGCAUUAGGACAUCAGCAACAGGUAUCAUCUAGUGAACUGUUCAGAUGCAACUGAAUUGAAAAGGAGCUGAACAAAAGAUCCUGAGAGAGGUCUGAUGAGACUGCUUUGGUAUUACCAAAUAUAUACAGCAUUUCUGUAUUCUAGCAGAGUAUAUUGCUUGGUACGAGAGAAGGGGUGCAUGAUAAAUGCUCAAUAAUUGCUCCUUGGGUGAAUAAUACAAAAAGACUGUACGUUUGUAAGAAUGAGCGUUAAUAUAUAGAUUCUCAUGUAUUUUAUGGAGUUGAUUAUGUAUCAGUUGACUUUAAGGGAAAAUGGUAAUAAGACUGGAUACAAUAACA